rnacentral:rRNA from 1 species
UACGGGGGGGGCAAGCGUUGUUCGGAAUUACUGGGCGUAAAGGGCUCGUAGGCGGCCAACUAAGUCAGACGUGAAAUCCCUCGGCUUAACCGGGGAACUGCAUCUGAUACUGGAUGGCUUGAGUUCGGCAGAGGGGGGUGGAAUUCCGCGUGUAGCAGUGAAAUGCGUAGAGAUGCGGAGGAACACCGAUGGCGAAGGCAGCCCCCUGGGCCAACACUGACGCUCAGGCACGAAAGCGUGGGGAGCAAACAGG